AUCAUGCACGUGGAACAAUAACUCAUCAAUUCACAACUAGACGCUGUUUGGGCGCGAGCUGCUUGAGUUUCUGCGCACGUCCCCUGCACGCCGGGCUCGCGUUGAGAUCCACUAAAGACUUGGUACCAGUCUUCCGGAAUAGGAAAACUGGAUACAUGGCAGAUAUCAAGAGAACGGAGUUGUAAUUUGCUAACGCAGUUUUAGAUCAGUUUGUAAAGAAAAAUACUGUUUAAUGCAUGGAAGUACACAGCAUUUGUGGAUGUGCUUAUAUGCAGUUUCAGAAGAAAAGUUACACAUUCUUUACCACCAAAUGCACUGCGACUGGUACCUUUACGGGUUUAACAUUUGGAUUCGAUUCUGUGAUGUGAUGGAUCGUCCCAAACUUGCUUAGUAUAUAAAAAAUAAAAGAUCAUCACGCACUGCAAAACAGGAACAAGAUGUUGAGGUGCUACACGUCAAUGACAAAACUUCGCAAUCAAACGAACACGGAUCAGAAGACGAGCGGAGAGUGGGAGUAGCGAUCAUGGUGGAGGAGUGAACCCGGAGCAGGUGAACACAGCUGCAGACCGCCAUGGGCUCUCAUCCUUCGGUCCCAGCUCUCCAUCUUCGGGUCUCCGAGAGACAGCAGGGGCCAGCCAGGGAGCGUCGGAGUGGGCAGGCGAGGCGGCUUGCUUCCCCCGCCGGCUACUGGCUCCUCGGCAACGAGGAGGGAGAGAAAUCAAUACUGAGAAGAGAUACUGCCAGGGGUCGCCCAACACAGCCUCCAGCCAUGGAGCCAUUGGAGACCGUGUACUAGGCGUUCUCUCCCUCUCAACCUGAUCUCAGUCAACUCACAUCAGCUGAAGAUAGGUUCGAGAGCUACGACGUUCUUCAUGAGUGUGUGUGGUUCUGCCGGAGGGCCUUUACAGACCCAGCAUCACUUGAUAAAACUGCGCCUGCUGGAGAACAAGCAGGAGAGGAAUGUCAAAGGUCUUUCUUUUCCCCAUCUUUGAUUCUUUUCCCACCUUGAGUGCACAUUCCCCCUGACUGUUUGAAUGAGCGCUUGACGGAGAUCUCUUUUACGCUUAAUCAAGAGGCCUUCUUAUUUUAGCCGUCUUUUUCCCGAGCAUGCACAAAGUGCUCUACAACAGAUGGGCCGGGAUGAGUGAACAGUUUGAACUGUUUUACCCUUUCCAGAGUGGUUUUAGAUAAUUUUUUUGAUAAUCGCCACCGUCUGAGGGUUCGGGAAAGGACUUGUUCAUUUAAAGGGACUUACCAGUCACCUUCCUUGGUUCCUUCAAAACAGUUUUAGUCCCUGACUGUGGCAUUUGAUGGGUAUUAACAUAGUUGCACACCAAUGGAGGAUGGCGAAAGUGCCUGAUAUCCUGACAGGCCCUCUUGAGCAACUUUCACCUCGCCACAGAUCGUCUUGGGAAUUGGAAGACUCUUGAAUGUCCCUUAAACAAGGUGCAAAAGUGGAAUGAAUGCCAUCAUUGCGCUGCGUUGCAGUGGAUCGUUCCUGUAUCAGUGAAUGCUCCAUGGGAAGGAAUUCGGUUUUAUGUGAACGCAAGAGCCACCAACCUCAGCUGAAUCCAAUGGUGCCUUGAACCGGAGACCAUCCCAGAUGAGACAGUACAUUUAUUUAGUCAUUUUACUUUAUUCCUUUUGUUGGACCUCAUACCCCAUCAGGUAAGUUUUUAUUAAUAGAAAAGGUACGUUUUUUCAGAUUUUGGUUUUAUUCAUUUAAUUUAAUCAAUUAAAACCUAAAUGUUGUUUUAUUGUUUUAUUUUAUUAUUUUAUUUCUAUAUAGUCUUGCUUUUAGCUGUGGUUUAUACGUAGAUAUAACAAUAAAUAUAAUAAAUGUUUAUUUCACAGUUAUGACUGUCUGACUCUGCAUUAUGUUGUUUAUUACACUGCCACUUUAAUAAUGAAAUAACUGUAUAUUAAAUAUAAAAUUGAAUUGAAUAAUUAUUUUAUUAUACAAGUAUAAAGAGACCACAGAGUGAUGUGACCUGUACAGUUUAUUAUAUGAAAAUAUUUGACUCAGUAUGAAUACUGAAAAUAAUAAACAGAUUUAUUCUGCAAAUAAACCUAUAAGUAAUAUAGCAAACUAUUGCAUUGAACUAAUUGCUGCCUUAUUUCUUGUAAAAAAUCAAACAAUAAAAGUGCUUAAUUGCUGAACCAAACCUUCAUUGUUGUGUUUUUUGCCAAAUUAAACAUAUUGAGUUGGAUAUAAUGUGAAAUGUAUUUCUCAUGGAAUGUGUUGAUAGAUCAAACACACACACACACACUUCUCUGGUGGCAAUCCCCUGCCUAUUGUUUUCCUCUAACUGUCAGCUCAAGAACUGCUCCAGUGCGCUUCAUUGCUCCUACUGAAACCUGCCCCUGAUUUCCAGCCCUUUGUCCAGCCCUCCUGGUCACCCAGCCCCUCUCACACAACAUGACCUGGGAUCAGGUCCAAGCCGCCCUGGCCGUGACUCAGGCACCAGGAGGCCAGACUUUGGCCUGAAAGGAAGCGAGGAGGAGAGAUUAUCCCAUCCUGGGCCGGUCCGGUGGAGAAUACGGUAGUAUUGACCAGGAGGGGUCACCCAUGGAGAGUCCAUUGAGGCAUGAGAUGGUCCGAUAUACAUGCUUACUGAGCAUGGCAGAUUCCCUUACUCUGAGCGGGAUAAACCCACAUAGAACAAGGCUCUUUGUUAGAGAUUAGGGUGGCAGCUCAUGUCCCUGAGUGCACCCUCUCUCUCAUACACACACAUACCUCGACCAUUCUCUU